GCAAAGUAAUAUUCAUAAUAGAAACAUUAUGAAAGUGUGGAAAAUUGCUUAAUUUUUGCACUAACAUAUUCCUCCCCUAUAUUAUUUAUGUUUUUAUCCUCAAACCCCUGCAAUUUUAGAAUUUUAUCUCUGCCCCUUAACAAAGUUUCUGAAUUCGUCUCUGCCCGUAACCAUUUCUUCUAGGAAAGCUGGUAGAAUUCUGGAUGAUAAAAUGAUUAUGAUGAUGAUGAUGAUGAUGAUGAUGAUGAUGAUAAAAGCUUACCAUAUAUGAGAAAUGGAGACUCUUUAGUGUUGGUCUUCAAUGGAGGCAUGUUAAAGACGAAAAACAAGUCCUGAGACGUUGCCAUCUUCUCCCACAGCUUUCUUGAGCUCCCAUGGUGUCCUCUAUCUAAACCUUUGGUAGCUUCAUACAUACAUGCAAACAAGUACACAAAGAAAGUUCAAGAAAGCUGUGGAAAAGCAUGGCCAGAACUUUUUAAAUUUAUCAGAGAAUUAAGCUUUUUUUAUGGGAUCCUACCCUAAAAAUAUACAAGGAAGAAGAAGAAGAAGAAGAUGGGCAUUCACUGUGUUUUCAUGGAAUAAUAUAUAAUCGUUUUAUCAAACUUUAUUUAAGAGAGAGAGGAGAGGAAGGCAUGGAAGAUACGGCAUGGUUUAUAAUUUAAGAUGGUGCAAGUUGUCAAUAUCGUAUAUACUUGUUUAAGUUCAAACUGGUUUAAAAUACGGAUAUUAAAUUUUGUCUAAACACGAUUAUAUUUGUAUAUAAUAAUGUGUGAUUAAAGUUCAAUUUAUUAACUAACUUGCAACAUUACUACUAUAUGCCAAAUUAAACCAUUCUCUUUUUCCUUGAAAAUCAACCCCGCAAUGAACAAGAAAAGUA
rnacentral:lncRNA from 1 species